rnacentral:rRNA from 1 species
UAAUACCGAAUAGGACCACAGAACACAUGUCCUGUGGUGGAAAGCUUUUGCGGUGUGGGAUGGGCCCGCGGCCUAUCAGCUUGUUGGUGGGGUGAUGGCCUACCAAGGCGACGACGGGUAGCCGGCCUGAGAGGGUGUCCGGCCACACUGGGACUGAGAUACGGCCCAGACUCCUACGGGAGGCAGCAGUGGGGAAUAUUGCACAAUGGGCGAAAGCCUGAUGCAGCGACGCCGCGUGGGGGAUGACGGCCUUCGGGUUGUAAACCUCUUUCACCAUCGACGAAGGUCCGGGUUUUCUCGGGCUGACGGUAGGUGGAGAAGAAGCACCGGCCAACUACGUGCCAGCAGCCGCGGUAAUACGUAGGGUGCGAGCGUUGUCCGGAAUUACUG